rnacentral:rRNA from 1 species
AACGCAGCGAAGGGCGAUAAGUAAUGUGAAUUGCAGAAUUCAGUGAAUCAUCGAAUCUUUGAACGCACCUUGCGCCCCUUGGUAUUCCGAGGGGCACGCCCGUUUGAGUGUCAUUAAAUUCUCAACCUUACCAGCUUUUACUAGUUGGCUUAGGCUUGGAUGUGGGGGGUUGCAGGCUUCUCAGAGGUCAGCUCUCCUUAAAUGCAUUAGCGGAACCUUUGUGGACCGUCUCUGGUGUGAUAAUUAUCUACGCCAUUGCCGUGAAGCAGCUUACAUGGGGUUCAGCUUCAAACCGUCCAUUGACUUGGACAACUUUGACAUUUUGACCUCAAAUCGGGCGGGACUACCCGCUGAACUUAA